AUUUCAAAUUUACUGUAAAUCUAAAUACAGUAAAAAAAUUAAUAAAUGAGCGCGAAACCUGACCAAUCACAGAAAAGCUUUUAUUUCCGCUUGGAGAAAGAAGAAAACAAGACACACUGAUGCGAAAAGAACCAGUCAGUUUCAAAGGUUCAUUGUGAGGAUUAACCCUGACAACAGCAAGUGCUCCUCAAAGUUCCAGGUCAGAAAACGAAGUUGGAAUAUGGUACAAAGGAAGAACUCUGGCCCGAACCCUCAUGUAUCCUCCUUCAUUAAGGAGUUUCUGGAUUUCAGCUGGCAAAACUAUUAAGCUACUAAGAGCAAAUACAUUCUACACAGGAGUUUUCUGAAUUUGUAAAUUUUUAAGAUUGUUCUUGUGACUGAAUCUGUUCAUGUCUGUUGUUUUAAAAUGCUCUUAAUAUGAAACUUUGAUGUAUUAAUGAAAUGUUUUCAGGUUUUUGGAAAACUGAAAGUACAAUCUGCAGGAAUAUUAAAAUGUUAUAUCAAGUAUUACAAUUUAACAAUUAAACCAAUAAAAGAAGUUAAA